AAUUCAUUUACGAUAUAUCUGAAUUCAUAGUGCUGUGUAGUGUUAUCUGGAGGAAAUUGGGCUACCCAGAUUACAGCUGGAGCGUCUUCGAGGUCAGUUGGAAAGCAACUGAUUAGUGUAACCAACGAUAGAUAGCAACGUAACUAAUAAUAGCAAUCUCAUCGGUAAAAUAUUAAAAAGAGGAUGAAGAUAGUUCCAAAUUUCUAUGAUAUUGACGUUCUCUUGAUCGCUAUAUAUUACUAAGCCUCAGAGCAUACAAACACCUACUUACUGCGGAACGAAAAUAAGGGUUAUAGGAUAAUCCUUUGUAUGAUCCCCU